ACUCGUGAGAUUCCGCUUAAAUGGCUUUGAAAUGAAACACCACCCGAUAGUUCCACCUGUGCUGGAGGGGAAGAGGAUCAAGUCUACUGCCCCUGCCCAGAUGACCCUCUGCCUGAUCCCAGGCAUACCAGCUCCUUUCUCUGGGCUUUGUGAGUUCCCUGAUGUUCCCUGAGCUUCGGUGUUCAGCUCCCUUUGGAACGCCAUCCUACCUACCAUAUCCUAGGCUGAUGCUGUGAGCCCGAUGACUCGACUCUCAAAAUGGUGACACCAGGGCCUGGCCCAUGAAAGAUGCCACCAACUAUUGUCCAGAGAAUUGAGAUGUGGAUGACAGCUGAUGAGGUGAUUGGGAGUGAAAUCACACACUCCUGUGCACAGAGAGGACUUCGCUAGGAAAUGAAGAUCCUGACCAGCCUAUCUGAAUGCUUUCUUCAGGAAUCCUUUCCCAUACCAUCUCAGCUUUACAAGGAUAAGACAAUGAACUGAAUAAACAUCUUUAUGAAUCACCCAGUCUCAAGAACGCUGUUGUCACAGCAACAGGAAGCUGACAACCAAGAGCUUAUCACCAGGCUUUGAGGCUAUUUAUACUCCUGCUGUAAACAGUGCUGCAGUCAACACCCCUGUCUUACCUGUUUACAUAUCUAUAAAAUGUGGGUAACAGAUUCUUGGAUGACUCGUUUCAUCCUCUACUGGAGAAGGCCAUCUUUUCCUGGGGGCAGGUCGUUUCCAGGCACUCUUUGGAUUCCUCU